rnacentral:rRNA from 1 species
UACGUAGGUGGCAAGCGUUGUCCGGAUUUACUGGGCGUAAAGAGCGCGCAGGCGGUCGUGCAAGUCGCGUGUGAAAGCCCCCGGCUCAACUGGGGAGGGUCACGCGAUACUGCUCGACUCGAAGGCAGGAGAGGGAAGUGGAAUUCCCGGUGUAGUGGUGAAAUGCGUAGAGAUCGGGAGGAACACCAGAGGCGAAGGCGGCGACCUGGACAAGUACUGACACUCAACUACGAAAGCGUGGGGAGCAAACAGG